rfam:Drosophila willistoni strain TSC#14030-0811.24 scf2_1100000013200 genomic scaffold, whole genome shotgun sequence.
AUGUACUAACCUCUAGUUUCUCUAUACUUUUGCCUGCUACCUUGGCAUUACAUCUAAAAAGGUACAAACAUCGCAUUGUCAAAAAGAGG